GGUUGUGGCUCAGUGGUAGAGCACUCACCUAGAACACACGAGGCCUGGGUUCGAUCCUCAGCACCA
rnacentral:tRNA from 1 species